CUUCCCAUCCCGCCUGGGGACCGAGCCGCCAGCCGCAGCCAUGACCCCCAGCCUGGCCAUCGCCUUCCUCCUGCUGCUCCCCGCGGGUGUCUAUUCCCAGGUCAGCCUGGUGGAGUCCGGUGGGGGAGUCAGGAAGCCCGGGGAGACCCUCAGACUGACCUGCACCGUGUCCGGAUUCUCCAUCACUAGCUACGGGGUGAACUGGGCCCGCCAGCCAGCGGGGAAGGGGCUGGAAUGGGUCGGUACCAUCUGGGCAGGUGGAAGCACUGAUUAUAAUGACGCUCUCAAAAAUCGCCUCAGCAUCACCAAAGACACUUCCAAGAGCCAAGUGUUCCUGCAACUGACCGGCCUGCAGCCCGCAGACACCUCCGUGUAUUACUGUGCCAAACACACAGUGAGAGGAAACCUAUCCGAGCCCGGCCUAAAACUAGCCGUGCAGAGAACCAGCCUUCCCGUGUGACGCGCCGAGAGCAGCAGCUGCCAGCACCGCGGUCUCUCUGCUUGGUUAGUUUUUUGCUUCAUGCAGAUUCCUCAGCAAGUUACAAGCGCUUGUGAGAUAAACUCCGUAUCACCCGAAAUCUCACAGUGAAUCAGCGACACCGAGCCUGGGAAUAAAACCCAGGAGUCCUGACUCCCAGGGCCCUGCUCUGCCAAUGUGUCUAUCAUUGUGCUAACAAGGGGACGGAAAGACCCCAGGGAUAUUCAUACCUAGACUCACGCUAUAGCAACUAGAUUAUUCUUCCCUCCCACCAUGGCUGGGGAAAUAAACAGGGAGUCUUUACACUGGUGCCCACUGCUGACACUAGAGCCCGGCUGUCAUAUGGGAGCCAGGAACAGAGCCCAGGCCUUCUGUUUCGUGGAGGACAAAGUCUGAGUCGUUGGCUCAAGGGCCUGUGGACAGAAAGAAAAAAGCCACCAACACCCCACUCUGGAGUCUGGCUCUAUGCCUGCAAGGUUGUGAGCGGGCUAAAUCUCUCCCUUCUCAGCCCAUUGAUAAAUCUCUGCCAGGGCUGGCUCUAGGUCUUUGCCGCU